ensembl:rRNA 5S_rRNA 5S ribosomal RNA
ACCCACAGCCAUAUCUCCCUGAACAUGCCCAGUCUUGUCUAAUCUCAGAAGCUAAGGAGGGUCAGGGCUGGUUAGUGCUGGGAGGGCAGUGUGGUGGUUCUUCAUGUAAAGCUGCUGUGGAGC